AAAAGAAACAAAAGAUAUACGAACGAACUAAAAAGUCAAAGACACAUAUUACAAAAUUCAAACGUAAAAUCAAAAGUACAAAGCAAAAAGAUUGUUGGCAACAUUUUUAUAAGUAUACAUAUAUACGUAUUAUUAUGAUUUGUAUAUAUUUUUUAUACGAACUCAAAACAACGGAGCCAGAUGCUCGAUUUUGAUACGCAGAAUUGCUCACGUGAUGCUCCGACUCCUACGACGGGUUACACCAUAUCGAGAAGUUAUCCAAUGAGAAAGCCGCUUAAAUUUUGGAGGAUCUAUGAUGGACGACAGAGAAAAAUAACGCUUUGUUUGUGAAAGAUUUUUUGAGCGCAAGCAAGGAUUAUUAAACGAAAAAAAACCAAACUAAAACCAAACCAACUAAGCCCAAAACGACAAAAAAUAAAAUCUUAAAUCGACGAAAAAAAACGAAAUAAAAAUUAAAGACACAUCUCGAACUCAUUCGCAAGUUUUUGAGCCGAAAAACCAAAAAAUAUAAAAAAAAAAGCAUCGAAAACAUUUUUGAAAUCAAAGCGAAAAGAAGCAACAAACUGGAAGGGAAAUUAUAAGAAGACCAGCGAGGAAAUAAAAAUCAAAUCUAAAUAAAAUUAAAUGCAAAGGACAUUCGCAUGUGUGUGGUGGUGGAAAGAAAAUUCAAAACAAAAUUCACAAUUAGAAAACGCAGAAAAAAACGUAGAAAACGCAGACGCAAAAUCAAAGCAAAGAGUGCCAGCCAAGAAUUUUGAACUUUGAACAUUUUCGACCAAAAAAGUUGAGCUACAACAAAAUUUCAACGUUUGGCGCAACACCAACAACAACAACAAACAAACAAGGACAUCAAGGAUUGCAGGAGCGAACGGUUUUGAAGGCGCAGCACACAUCGAUAUCCCCUUCAUACACACACCACUAGGACUUGGACACUUGGACACUGAAUCAGUACCAGAUAGGGAUACGGGCGCAUCUGGAGUUAAAAAAUUUUGAAGGAUUUGCCUAGAUUUGCCACAGGACCUUAAACAAACACGCACACGUCGCGGCGAAUUCGGGCCUCUGGAGAGAAAGGAAACGAAAAAAAAAAGAAGAAAAGCCGAGGAAAGCAGGGGAAAUUCCGGGGUGAGGCCAGCCAAUCCGGGAAAGUCGUCGUUGUCGUCGUCGUUGAGGGGAAAACGCAGAGGCAGAG